rnacentral:rRNA from 1 species
UACGUAGGGCGCAAGCGUUGUCCGGAAUUAUUGGGCGUAAAGAGCUCGUAGGCGGCUUGUCACGUCGGAUGUGAAAGCCCGGGGCUUAACCCCGGGUCUGCAUUCGAUACGGGCAGGCUAGAGUGUGGUAGGGGAGAUCGGAAUUCCUGGUGUAGCGGUGAAAUGCGCAGAUAUCAGGAGGAACACCGAUGGCGAAGGCAGGUCUCUGGGCCGAUACUGACGCUGAGGAGCGAAAGCGUGGGGAGCGAACAGG